GCCUAACACAUGCAAGUCGAACGAACCCUUCGGGGUUAGUGGCGCACGGGUGCGUAACGCGUGGGAACCUGCCUUUAGGUUCGGAAUAACUCAGAGAAAUUUGAGCUAAUACCGGAUAAUGUCUUCGGACCAAAGAUUUAUCGCCUUUAGAUGGGCCCGCGUUAGAUUAGAUAGUUGGUGGGGUAAUGGCCUACCAAGUCGACGAUCUAUAGCUGGUCUGAGAGGAUGAUC
rnacentral:rRNA from 1 species